GAGGCCACUCAAGCUGGUGCAAGUGCAGGUCAGUCCUGAGAGUGGGUGUCUCGUUGUCUCACUCUAGUGCCAACCCUGGCUGUGAGGACCCUGGGGUGUCACAUAUGCUCUCGAACAAGACAAGCUGCUUUCAGCUAAACUACACAUGGCAGCCAUCACUGGUUUCCAUUCAGCAGAUAUUUACUGAGCACGCCUGUGUCUCAGCACUGCCAGGGACUUCCCUUCCCGUCCUGGUCACCAUCUGCUCCUUCACUGAGCCCCGAGGUGGCUUCACAGGCAGCAUGACCUCACCCAGCACCUCUUCUUCUGACAGAUUCUGAGCCCCCAAGGGCCCAGACCACACCACCACUCUGCAGGAAAACAAAGGCAAGAAGAGUGUGAGCUGAGAGGAUUCAAGAGGAGAGUGAGGAUGGGAGGGGGACCGGAGGCGAGCAGAGGAGGAGCCACUGGUCUAACCUCGUCAAGAGGCAGUCAUGGACUCCUUGUGCCGCAGCUGGUUCUCCUGCCAGAACCUCAUGCUGUAAAUCAGCCUCCUUCUCUGUUCCCAGGCUGUCAAAGACCCCAGCUCGUCCUGCAUGCUGCAAAGGACCCUGGGGGUAUUACCGAACAUGAAGUGAGUUCGCUCACCCGUUGCGCAGCAAGCCAAUCUCUGACACCAGGAGUGAUGGAAGAAAGUAGGAAUUUUAUUUUUGCACAGCGCUGAGCAAGGAGAGAGGGCAGCUAACACUGAAAUCCCAAACUCC
rnacentral:lncRNA from 1 species